UACGGAGGGUGCGAGCGUUGUUCGGAAUCACUGGGCGUAAAGCGCGUGUAGGCGGCCCACUAAGUCUGAUGUGAAAGCCCGGGGCUCACCCCCGGAAGUGCAUUGGAAACUGGUGGACUCGAGUCCCGGAGAGGAGAGUGGAAUUCCUGGUGUAGCGGUGAAAUGCGCAGAUAUCGGGAGGAACACGGUGGCGAAGGCGGUUCUCUGGGCCGUUACCUGGACGCUGGAGGAGCGAAAGCGUGGGGAGCGAACAGG
rnacentral:rRNA from 1 species